rnacentral:tRNA from 1 species
ACCUGAGUGGCUCAGUGGUUGAGCAUCUGCCUUUGGCUCAGAUUGUGAUCCCAGGGUCCUGGGAUCAAGUCCCAUAUCAGGCU